UACGGAGGGGGCGAGCGUUAUUCGGAAUUACUGGGCGUAAAGCGUGCGUAGGCGGUUCGUUAAGUCUGUUGUGAAAGCCCCGGGCUCAACCUGGGAAUGGCAAUGGAUACUGGCGAGCUAGAGUGUGUCAGAGGAUGGUGGAAUUCCCGGUGUAGCGGUGAAAUGCGUAGAGAUCGGGAGGAACAUCAGUGGCGAAGGCGGCCAUCUGGGACAACACUGACGCUGAGGCACGAAAGCGUGGGGAGCGAACAGG
rnacentral:rRNA from 1 species